rnacentral:rRNA from 1 species
AGUGAACGCUGGCGGUAGGCCUAACACAUGCAAGUCGAACGGCAGCACAGUAAGAGCUUGCUCUUACGGGUGGCGAGUGGCGGACGGGUGAGGAAUACAUCGGAAUCUACUUUUUCGUGGGGGAUAACGUAGGGAAACUUACGCUAAUACCGCAUACGACCUACGGGUGAAAGCAGGGGAUCUUCGGACCUUGCGCGAUUGAAUGAGCCGAUGUCGGAUUAGCUAGUUGGCGGGGUAAAGGCCCACCAAGGCGACGAUCGGUAGCUGGUCUGAGAGGAUGAUCAGCCACACUGGAACUGAGACACGGUCCAGACUCCUACGGGAGGCAGCAGCGGGGAAUAUUGGACAAUGGGCGCAAGCCUGAUCCAGCCAUACCGCGUGGGUGAAGAAGGCCUUCGGGUUGUAAAGCCCUUUUGUUGGGAAAGAAAAGCAGCAGGUUAAUACCCCGCUGUUCUGACGGUACCCAAAGAAUAAGCACCGGCUAACUUCGUG